CAAGGCCGGGAAGCCGGCUGGUAGUUUGAGGAUUGGUUGGCCGUCUCAGUUACUAAGCGGGACCGAAAAGGAGGACGAAGGUGCGGGGGGUUGCGUAGAAGUAGGAGCGAAAAUGCUUACGGAGCCCAUCUCCCCUUGUCCUCAAUCAGUUCUUUUCUGCCCCGUUUUACCCAAAGGUCUUUCAGCAGCAACACGAACAAAUAGACCAAGUGGUACGUGUCGAAUGGCAGCCAUGAAAUUUGAAUACUCCUCUGGACAUUGGUAGCCUUCCCGCUCGGACCGUCCCAUAUAAGAGAUACGAAAGUACCUGAAUGGAAUUCAAAGUGACAUACAUGCUCCGUGAAAGAGAUUGCACAGAUACUGGUUGGCUUAAAGACAGAACCACAAAGAGAUGGGAGUUGGGGGAAAGAAGGAAAGAAAAACAUGGCUGAAAAAGAUACAUUUAUUCAGAGAUAUUUUCUGGGCUAUAGUAAGGAGACUUUCUUCACCUGGAAAUGGAGGAAAAAUAAUUUUCACAAGCAGAAGAGUACAGCACAUCCAAAGACUGAAGAGCGUGCUGAAAAAUAUUUUUCUGAAUAAAUUAUGUUUUGAUGGGAAACCCAGAAUCAGGUGUAAACUGAGUGCCCUGGUCCUAGAAUUUUUGUCUCUGAUUACAUGAAAGGUUUGUUUAAGAGGGCUGUGCAAAUCAUAGGAAACAAAUCUUUGCAACAUGCUGGACUGCUAAUGAAGAAUCUCAGCUUCAGGACCUGCAGAACCUGAUAGCUUGUAAUUGUAUUGACAUUUUAUUUCCUGUGAUGUAAACUGUCUAGAGCCUAAAGCCUGAAGAUUAGGCAACAGAGAAAUUCUGGGAUGUAAAUUAAUAAAGUUACAAAUUCUGAAAUUUUGCAAUGCUGCACCUUCCUAUCAUAAUUUAUAGUGCUAUCCAGCUAAGAAUCAUGGACAUUGGAAUUAAUUUCUUUGAAUUUCUACAAGAACAGCCGAAAGUCCACUGACUACAAAUUCUGAAAACUAGAAUCCAACAAAAUCUGGAAGGCAUUGGAUUGAGAAGACUGAGAUAUAUAAACCAGUCCCCAUCAAUAGAGAUAAGCCCCAAUCUUAUCUCCAAUCAUAGAUGUUCAUCUGAGGGUUUAUCAGUUUUAUUUACAGGUUCAGCUUGACCAUUUCUCACUAUGGCCAAGGGCAAAGAAAGGUCAUUACUAUAGAAUAAAUGCAUUCGUUUGACUAAUAAACUCUCAAACCCCAAGGGAACUGAUGUUUUUAAAAUUAGUUCAAAGGAUUAUGAAACCACAAACAAGCUUUAAGUUUAGAUUGGAUUAAGUAAUCAUGAGAUUGUUGUUGUCUGUGAGGAAAGACAAUAUAAACAUUGUAGUGCUGAUUAAUAUACCGACAUAGAAAUGUAGGUUUUAAUAACAAUAGCUCCUAGUCCAAGAAUUGGAUAUUAACAAUUAUUCUUAUGCUAUUCUGAAUUAUUCCUAUUCUAAUCAAAAUAAGUAGGUUAAUACAUUACCCUUUUGAAUUGGAAUGGUAAAAGCUCUUGAAAAACCUAAUAGCUCUUGAAGAACCUCAUAAUUAUUAUCUAGGUCUCUGAAACACUUUUUCUAGUCAAUCAAAAUUCAAACAAUAUAGGUUUUGGACUGGGAAGAGUUUAUAUGUAGGUACCAUAGUAUUGCAUUCUAUGGUUAAUGGUUCUGAUUAUACAUCAGAAAACAAUAUAGCAAGGGAGAAAUAAAAUGAAAUAUUGGGUAUCUGAAACAGAAAUCGGCAACAUUAUGGUGGAACUCUUAACCUAAAAUUAGGCCAAUUUUGCACAGGUUUAAUAUAAUUCUGCAGCAGGUUUUGGUAAGUGUGAUUCUCCCCACUUAUUAAUUGCAUAACCAUAGUGUGUUUGAUACAGUAUUGCAUUUAAAGAAAAGUAUGUGUGAUAAAUACCAUAUGCCUACUAAAUCAACAGUGUCAUGUGGUUUAUGCGGAUGAGAAACAACAGUCUAAAACUGCACAAUAACUUGUUAAAAUCCAAACUCUGAACUCUAAGUGUAUCACAUUGAUUUCAAUAGAAUUAGCUAUAUAGUGCUGAAUGGGACAAAUGGAAAACAUCAGGUUACUUUACUAGGUAAUCUUGAUAUUUAAAAGACAUACUUCAUCUCACCCCAUUUCUGGGGGAUUGUGUUGGAGUAUCGUAUUGUUCAUUAUCAGAAAAAGAACACUGAAGUGCACUUAACUAUAUCAACAUGUGCAGUCUAUAAGAGAGAACUAGGAAAAUGGCUUCAGAUUGAAUUCUAUGUGCAAACAGGCAAAGCAAGGUAAAUUAUUAGCUACUAAUUAGAAAUUAAUUAGUGAGAAAACCACAAAUGCUAAUGAAAAAUAGUUCCACAUAGAUCUACCCUAAUUUGGAUUGCAUUGCUUCAAUAGCCCAUCCAGGUCACAGAUAAUCCUAUAAGGAGACGACUGAUUCCUGUCUCCUGCACCAGGAGGUUGUACUCAGUCAUUCAUGCCCUGGUCACAUCCUGAAUGGAUUAUUGUAUGGGGCUGCCCUUGAAAAGUAUCCAGAAGUUUCAGCGGAUGCAACAUGUACUGACAUGGGCAAUUAUGUGGAUUCCUUAAUUAGUGCAUGUUACAUCUCUGCUCUGUGAGCUGCAUUAAUUGCCAGUUUGCUUCUGGGUUCAAUACAAUGAUAAUGUGUUAUGGUAAUGAUCCAUAAAACCCUUCAUGGUAUGGGGCCAGGUUAUUUUCUGAGUUAUAUUUUUACCUAUCUCACCAGGUCUAGCAGAAGAGACACAUUAGGGGUUCAGUGCCAUCUGACGGGAUUCAGGAAAAGAGUCUUUACUGGCAGUGCCCACUCUGAAAUAUUAUUAGUUAAAUCAUCCACAACUCUUUUAUUUUUUAAAAAAAACUCUGAAGACAUGGCUUUGUCCUUGUAUUUUAUGGUUUUAAUGUAGUUUUAAAAUAGUUUAUAAAUUCAUAUAAAAGUAAAGUAUUUUUGAAGAGGACAUUGCAAUGGUUGUUUUAAUUAUAUGAGCCACCCGGAGUCACAAAUGUGAGAUGGGCAGUUGUACAAAUUAAAUGAAUGAAUAAUAAUAAUAAAGGAUAAAUAAGGUAUUCCCUAAACCUUUGCAUUUUUAGAAAUGUUGUAUUUCCACUAUAUAUGAUUCAUUCUUCUACAUAACUAACAUUUGUUGAAAGUUGCUGAAUAUGUUUUGUGUGUGGAUAUACGUGUGAUUACUUUUUAUUAUUUGUGAAAAAACUGUUUCAAGUAUUAAAAGGUGCAUUACUUGGCCUGUAUGAAAGCAUCUGUAUUUUCCACUAUCUCUAUUUAUAUUAGGCAAUUCUUAGGACAUUAUGGGAAGAAAAUUUAAUCUGAAAAUUGGAUGACAAAGUGUCAUCUUAAAAUACUUCACUCUUAUCCUUGGCAUAGAAUUUGCUUCAUUAUUUUCAUAAGUUGCAGUUGCAUACUUCUGCAGCAUUAUAUAAGUAAAAUAAUCUUAGCUGGGCAACACUAAGUUUUCACUUGAGGUGAGGUGUUGAUGAGGAAGUGAAAAGGAAAUUGGUAAAUAUGCCAAGAAAGGCAGGGAAAUCACUGUCAUCCCAAGCUACAGUGAUGGGAUUGCUUGGAAAGAGAAUUCAUGUAGGCAUAGAAAAUAUAUUUUUAUGAACAUGCUACAGCAAGCCCUUUUAGAAAAGUCUCUUGAAUAAGAAUUUGAAUUUUAUUUCAAGCUUCAAGUUACGAAUUAUCCCACCCAUUUUACCCAUCCAGUGAAUAAAAAUGUUAAGAAAUACAAUUGCAGGAUAGAAUCUUAUAACAUUGUACAUAUUCAGUUCCUCCAAUCUCUCCUGAUGUUUACCUAUUUACCUGAGCUGAUCAACAUCUACUUUUUUGAAAUCCAAGAUCUAUCUCUACCAUACUCAGGUUAAAGAAUAGUAUGUUUCCCUUUAAAAAGAAUGCAUUUUCUUUUCUUUUGCUUUUGUUCCUCUUGAACAAACUUCAUACUUCAAUUGUCAUAUUCCAAUCACAGCAGUCAUCCCACAAGGACUCUAUUAUAACUAUUAAAUCUUAUUUCCCAUACUAUGAGCAUUAUUGUAUAAAAAAAUGAAGGCCAUGAACUUUAUGAGCCAAUGUUCUUUCUGAUUUUUUCACUGAGAGAUUUAGUGAGCCAUAGUAACAGCAACACUCCCAUUUCUUCUACAUAAGUCUUUGUCCAAAGUUCUUGUUCAGAAUGUUUGUCUUUCAAACCCCACAGGUUUCAAUUUAAGACUCUCCUGAGCAAACUUAACAAGCUUUCUCCAAGCAUAUUUUUAUUAGUCUAUGUGAACUACAUCUCAUCUCAUGCCAGCAAUCCAUCAUUCAUAACUGAGACCAUGAACCAAAUAAUUGCUGUCAACAUAAUUUGAAUAGCCAGUCAUUCAUUUUCAGUAUUCCUUUUUUUCUUUUUCAGCCUUCUUUUAUGAAGUAUGGAUGAGAACACUAUUUCAUCCUUUAGGUUCUUGAACUUAUUCCUAGACCUUUAAGGUUUAUGUUAUACAAUUAUAUAGUCACUUAGGUGAGAUGAGCAAUGUAGAAAUGCCAUAAAUUAAUAAAAGUUACUUUAUGUGGUAUUAUUUGUCUGUACAGAAAAGGAUAACUUUCAGUUUUUGAUAAUUCUUGUAAGUGAUUCUGGUACAUUCCUGGUCCUUGUUUUUGGCCAGUAGCAUAGCUCAUGAGCUGAUGGAUCCAAUUGGCACACAUUUGUAUCAAUAAGUCACCAAUUAUCAUGACUCCUUACCUUCUCAUAGGCUGCAGCUAUAUUCCCUUUGAUUUCUACAGAUUCAAAAUCCUAUCUUUUCUCUGAUAGUGUCCUUUCCUUCCCCAGAAAGUUUAGUUACUUAUUUCUUUUGCAUGGGUCAGAAAGUGUCUUCUACAUUUCCUGUUUCUAGAUUCAUCCCUGGAACUUGCUUCUUUGCUUCAUGCUCUUCUGUAUGGAGAGUUGCUUUGUCUGCUUUUGUUACAGCUACCAUUUUAUGUACUAAAGAAUACUGUGUUACUUGGAGAAACAGCCUGAAA